AUGGGCCAGUGCGUUCUAGGAAGAGACAGAACCCAGGAAAGUCCUGAGGCAGGAGCUACAGUGUCCCCACCGAAAGGCAAGAGGCCUGUGAGGUGGAGCAGAGUGAGCAGGGAGGAAAAUAGGGAGGGACUUCUAGAAGCAGACAAGAUGCCACAACACUCCAAGAGCAUGUCUGGUCCCACUCUGCCGUCCUGUCUCCUGAAACUUACUGACGGCCCGGCCCGAAAACUCCACACGGGUCUCCUUCCUCCUCUUCUCCGCUUCCGCUCUGCCUGAGGGCGGCGAACGCCGUGCAGCCAGCCACCUUCCGAGUGACGAAGGCACACCGCGGCUGGGCCGAGGCAGGGGUCGCGAGUCAGGGAAGGGCGCAGCGGGCCGGGUCCGCGGGCGGAAGGCAGAGGGCAGGGCGAAAGCGCGCGGACGGCCACUACCUGCACGGCGUCAAAAAGCUCACGGGGAUGCGGGACAGAGACGACCUCACAACGAGAGGGAGGACAAGCUCAGAGGCUUUGACUUACACAUUGAACCCUGCAGAGUGAAGGGGUUGGACAACGUGCAGAUCUGAACCAGAAGAACGUAAACUCACUCACCUGAUUCCCGGUUAUCUCGCGGAUCUGUUCCGGGUUUGCAGGCAACGGCGCAGGCGCAGCGUCCACUUGGGGGGCGGGCCCAGGACGUGAGGGGCGGGGCCUGACGCGGGGACCGGAAGCCGGAGGCCGGGAGAGGACCAGGUUUGGGUAUUAUAGAGUCUGAGGGUGAUUUCAGCGUUGACUCUUACAUUGUGCAAGAGCCAGAGCUGUCUGCUGCGUAGCCGUUGGGAACCAAAAAGUUAGAUGCACAACUGCCGGUGAGGGAGGAACGAUUUUAUGUGACCUUCCGCUAGUGUCCUUUUCAUUUCUGUUCUGCAUUUCUCCCAGGAGAGGACAGGAGGAGGCCGACAUGCAACCUGGGACUCCAUGGGCUUGGGCUGGAGAGGCCAGCGGCAGGGAGCUGAGCACUUAAAAGCAACAACAGUUUCUGCGUGUAUCGAAAUAAACUCGUUUUUUUUUUUCUCUUUUUUGAUUAUAUUCCUUCUAAACCACCUUUCUUGAGAUAAAUGAAAAUGCAAGUAUCUUUGUCACAGACUAGAUUGCAUGUGGUAUUUUCCUUGUCAUUAAUAGCUAAUCACAAACGUAUUCCAGUGUUUAAAGUCUUUAUUUUCAGUAGUUUAAAAGUGUUUUUACUUCGAAAAUUACAUUAAUUGCAUAUUUUAACCUAUUUUUUUUCCUGAAUGUUUUGUGUCAAGUGCAGAUACUGAGGCUGUAGCAGUUGUCUUUCCUUUUAACUAAAAACAUUUGAAAUAUUUUCAGAUAUUUGAUAAGGUUGACUAGUUCUCAGUUUGGGCAAUAGAAGUAAAUAGUAAAACUAGUUUUUAAGUUUUUUCAAGAGGAUCUCUUACAUCCUUAAUUUUAACUUACACACAUUUUAAUUUUUUAAAUUAAGUUUAUUGGUACAUUUUAGGUAUACAAUAUAAUGACAUUCAUCAUUGGAGAUUUGUACCUUUACAUAAUAUAUCUUGUUGUGCCCAGAUUUCGAGGUCCCCAAAGACCACCAAGGAGCCGAUUCCGAUGUAAACACACGAGGGUCGUUUAUUCAAGCUCAAGCAGGGACUCCCAACCGUCACCGCCGCAGCGGGUCAAGAUUGAGAGCCCUCACUCCAAAUCAGCAGGGGUUUUUAUAGUAGUUACAGCAAGGUUCUAGAUUGGCAAUUAAACCUGAUUGAUUGUACCUUGCGCGCCCAAGCUGCAAACGGUUGCUAACUACUGAUUAGCUGUUGCUAGGGGACGGCUGAACACUAUCACAUGCAGGUGGUCAAAAUACAUCUUGUGGUUUUUCUUAGAACUGAAAUUUAUGCCACCAAAUUUUAGAAUGGAGUCACUUAGGUCUCACAGGGGGGGGUGUACCGGGGAUCGAACUUGGGACCUUGCACUUGCCAGGCAGGCAGCGGAACCACUGAGCUAAAUCUCCGGCCCUAUAUAUCUUGAUUCUUAUUUUUUCCCUAUUCCCCUGACCUCCCAUCAACCCCUCCACCCCUGCCUAUUUACAAAAAUUUGUUUCCAUUUUUUCUUUUCUCAUAUUUAUUCCAUUCCCUUCUUUUCUUUUCCCUACCCCUCCCACAUCCCCUUUCCCUUUGCAACUUUUCUUCCUAUUUCACAUUAUCUAUUAUACAUUAUGAUCCUUAUUUACACUUUCAGUUUCUCACACCAGAGAAACUAUUCAGUAUUUACACGUGUGUCCUAUUUAUUUCACUUAAGAGUAUUGCUUCAAUGUGCAUCUAUUUAGCUAUAAAUGUCUCUAAUUUCUCAUUCUUCAUGGCUGAGUAGUACUCCAUUUUCUUAAAAAAAUCACUCAUUUUAAUUUGAAAUGUGAGUUAAUAGCUCAUUUCUGUUUCCGUGGAAAUAAUGAAGGUGAUGUUUUUGGAGUCUGUACUCAAUCACUAUUACAUAUGCUGCAGAGAUUUCCAAAGGAUUGUUUCCAAUAAAGGUUAGUGUUCUAUUUUCCCCAGAACUAACAGAAGGUUCUCAAACUUUUAAGUUUUUUUUCCUCCUAAACUUUCCCCAAGGUUUUAGUUUUUAAAACAAAUUCAUGGACUCAAAUGGAUUUAAACUUUAGAAGAUAAAGUUCUCUUGGACAAGAGAACAAAAAUAGUGCUUGCUCUGUUUAUGAAAGAGGACUCCCAGAACUGCUUCACAAAGUGCCAAGAACAGUGGAAGAAAUGUGUUUGGAGGGAGGGGGGGGUCACUUGGAAGGAGAUGAAUGGCAAUGUGUCUUUUACUGUAAUAAAUUUUAAAAAUGUCAACAUCCAUGCUUUUGAUCAACCUUUGUAAAUGAUAUGGAAUGAUUAAGCUAAUUCACAUAGAAUUCAUUCAGAGCCAUGUCAUCUAGUCUGUACACUAAUCCAUUUAUCACACCCAUAAUUCAUACUCAAACACCCUAGAUCCAGCCACCUCUGAAAAGCCCCACCUAUGAGCACAUGAGGCUUUUGGUGGUGGUGGUGGUGGGGGACAUCUAGAUACAAGCCAUAACAGAUGAAAGCCCAAAGAAAGAACAUUGUAUUUCCUUUUAUGCUGGGAAUAAAACUAUCAUGGGUUACUACAAUCUCAUAUCUUGCCUUAAAUUAUGGGACAUAAAA
rnacentral:lncRNA from 1 species